GACACGCGGAAAUUCUUAUCGUCAUUAAGAUGGCGUCAAUGACAAGGUUAUGGUCCAAUUUACACAAAACAGUCGUCCCUCGCCGGACUUUCACAACCGGAAAAGUCCUCCGUGAUCACCCUCCUGGAUAUCCUAACGAUUCGAUGCCCUUCAUGGCGGCAAGUCAUGGGAAGGUGAACAAGGUGUCAUUUACGAUAUCUUAUAUGCUGUUUUGCCUGACUGGAAUGAUGUGGCCCAUUAUGGCUGUAAGGGACAAUUGUAUCAGGAUAGGGGCUACUAUAGAGGUACCCACAGAGGAAUAGAGGAUAGUGGUCUUACUGAGCAAAACUGAACAGUGUCCGUCAACCAUCGGCAGGAUUUGUUUGAAUACUCGGUCGGAUUUGUUUUCUUUGGCGGUUGUUGUUACUGUUUGAGGUGUCAAUAAAUGAUUUAUAAAAAACAUGCUUUAUUAUAUUGUACU